UACGACUACAUAUCAGGCAUAUCAAUAAGCGGAGGAAAAGAAACUAACAAGGAUUCCCUUAGUAACGGCGAGUGAAGCGGGAAGAGCUCAAAUUUGAAAUCUUCAAGGUUUUACCUUGACGAAUUGUAGUUUAAAGAAGUGUUUUCUGUUGGUGUUUUGGUAAAAGUUCUUUGGAAUAGGACAUCAUAGAGGGUGAGAAUCCCGUAUUUGACCAUUACUUCCAGCGUUGUGAUACACUUUCAAAGAGUCGGAUUGUUUGGGAAUGCAGUCCAAAAUGGGUGGUAAAUUUCAUCUAAAGCUAAAUAUUGGCGAGAGACCGAUAGCGAACAAGUACCGUGAGGGAAAGAUGAAAAGAACUUUGAAAAGAGAGUUAAACAGUACGUGAAAUUGUCAAAAGGGAAGCGUUUGACACCAGUGUUGUUUUCUCGAAAAUCAAUUAAAAAGUGUUGGAUUUUGUAUUGUUAAGACCUUAUCAGCUUACUGUACUUUUUUCCUGCUCUUUUUAAUGCACUUUUCGUUUAACAAGUCAACAUCAAUUUCUUUUGUUGUAAAAGGGUCAUUGGAAGGUGGCUUUCACUUCGGUGAAAGUGUUUAUAGCCUUUGGCUUCUACAAUCGGAGAGAUUGAGGUCUGCAGCGUAGAUCCUUCGGGGUUAGAUACGUAGAUGCUAAGUUAUAGUUUUUUAUAGACAACUUGUUGACUAUGAUUAAUCAUGUAGCUUACUCGUUUACGCUAUUUUACCUACGCUUAGGAUGUUGAUCUCUCACAGUCGAG
rnacentral:rRNA from 1 species